UGGGGAAUAUCGCACAAUGGGCGCAAGCCUGAUGCAGCCAUGCCGCGUGUAUGAAGAAGGCCUUCGGGUUGUAAAGUACUUUCAGCGAGGAGGAAGGCGUUGUGGUUAAUAACCGCAACGAUUGACGUUACUCGCAGAAGAAGCACCGGCUAACUCCGUGCCAGCAGCCGCGGUAAUACGGAGGGUGCAAGCGUUAAUCGGAAUUACUGGGCGUAAAGCGCACGCAGGCGGUCUGUCAAGUCGGAUGUGAAAUCCCCGGGCUCAACCUGGGAACUGCAUCCGAAACUGGCAGGCUAGAGUCUUGUAGAGGGGGGUAGAAUUCCAGGUGUAGCGGUGAAAUGCGUAGAGAUCUGGAGGAAUACCGGUGGCGAAGGCGGCCCCCUGGACAAAGACUGACGCUCAGGUGCGAAAGCGUGGGGAGCAAACA
rnacentral:rRNA from 1 species